rnacentral:rRNA from 1 species
UACGUAGGGGACGAGCGUUGUCCGGAAUUACUGGGCGUAAAGGGCGCGCAGGCUGCGUUACAAGUCAGCUGUUAAAUGCAUGGGAUUACCCCAUGAGUGCGAUUGAAACUGUAGUGCUAGAGUACUGUAGAGGCAAGCGGAAUUCCCAGUGUAGCGGUGAAAUGCGUAGAUAUUGGGAGGAACACCGGUGGCGUAGGCGGCUUGCUGGACAGUAACUGACGCUGAGGCGCGAAAGCCAGGGGAGCAAACGGGAUUAGAUACCCCCGUAGU